rnacentral:rRNA from 1 species
UGGGGGAUAUUGCACAAUGGGGGGAACCCUGAUGCAGCGACGCCGCGUGGGUGAAGAAGCGCCUCGGCGCGUAAAGCCCUGUCAGCAGGGAAGAAAAUGACGGUACCUGAAGAAGAAGCCCCGGCUAACUACGUGCCAGCAGCCGNGGUAAUCACUGUCU